UACGUAGGGGGCGAGCGUUGUCCGGAUUUAUUGGGCGUAAAGAGCGUGUAGGCGGCCAGGUAGGUCCGUUGUGAAAACUCGAGGCUCAACCUCGAGACGUCGGCGGAAACCCUCUGGCUAGAGUCCGGAAGAGGAGAGUGGAAUUCCUGGUGUAGCGGUGAAAUGCGUAGAUAUCGGGAGGAACACCUGAGGCGAAGGCGGGCUACUGGGCAGAUACUGACGCUGAUGCGCGAAAGCCAGGGGAGCGAACGGG
rnacentral:rRNA from 1 species